ACAUUCUUCCAAACAAAAGCUGGUCAGGCCUAUCAUAACAAUACCCUACUCUUAGGACCAACGUCUAUCUUAGGGCUUCACUUGCUGUGAAGAGACACCAUGACCAAGGAAGCUGUUUGGACUCUUGUCGUUCCUACCAGCCAUUUAUAAAGCCAGCGGUAAACCUCCUUACUUUUCCAUGUCCAGUCAUGACUAACCUCUUGACCUCGGGUUUGAGUGCCCAAAAUCACCAUCCAAUGCCAUCGUUCCAGCCUGAUUGGUGGUUGAAGUAGGCGACAGUGUUCAUGGUGGUGGCUUGAUGCCCAUGGAUCCUGGACAUCUGCCAUGGAAAACAAAAGUUCUGCAAGCCAGGCCAGUAAAGUUUGAGCCACAUUGAUUGAUGACAUCUUCUCUGAAAGCCUGAUAGAAUUCUGCAUGGAAUGCACCUGCCUCUGGCCACAUCUUACUGGGAGAUUUUAAACGACUACUUCUUUCUCACUGAGUGUUAUAAGUCUAUUUAAAUUUUUUACUUUAUCUUAAUUAACCUUGGUGGGUUGUCUCUGUCAAUGAAUCUACCCAUUUCUUUUAGGUUUUGCAGUUUGGUGGAAUACAGAUUUUAAAAGUACAUUUUUAUGAAUCUCCGAAUUUCUUCAGAAUCUAUCAUAAUGUCUCUCUUUUCAUCUCUAAUCGUAACUUUGGAUUGCCUCUUUUUUUGUUUAGUUUGGCUGGUUUGUAUGUAAUAACAUAAUGAAAAGAGACUGUAAAUUUGAAAGAAGGAGUAUAUGGAGUCCUUGGAGGGAGGAGAGGGAAGGAGGAAAUGUCAUAAAUACGUUGUAAUCUCAAAAACUUAAAAAGGUAUGUGCUUACAGAUGGGAGCCUGGCAUGGCUGUCCUCUGAGAGGCCCUACCAACAGCUGACUGAGACAGACGCAGAUACUUACACCAGUCAUUGGACUGAAGUUGGGACCCCUAUGGUUAAAUUAGAGGAAGGAUUGAAGAAGCUGAAGGGAAGAGUGACCCCAUAGGAAGACCAGCAGUCUCAACUUACCCAGACCUCAGGGAGCUCCCAGAGACGGAGCCACCAACUGAGAGCAUACAUGGGCUGGUCUGAGGCCUCUGGCACAUACAUAGCAGAGGACUGCUGGUCUGGCCUCGGUGGGAGAAGAUGUGCUUAAUCCUCAGGACACUUGAGGCCCCAGGGAAGGCGGAGACCUGGUGCAGGAAGCACCCUCUCAGAGGCAAGGAGGAGGAAUGGGAUGAGGAAGUGUGCGAAAACGAGGAGAGCAAUGAGUAGAAUGUAAAUGAAUAAAAAUUAAAAUAAAAAAAUUAAAAUGAUUUUUAAAAAAGGAUGUUGUAAGUAGACUGGGCAGAGAAGCAACAAUUCCAAGAUCUAACUGCAAAAUGUACACAUGAGCAAAACCAUCACGAGACACAUUUGCAAGAGUGGAGAUUAAAUGAGUGUGAGAGUUAAUUUCUGCCCUGAAUUGAACGGUGUAUCUCUCAGAUGCUCCUGAUUCUUGCAGCAGGAGCAGUGAGGGGGAAGAAUUGCCUCUAUAUUUCACAUGCCUGUGUCCUAUGAUGGAGAGAAAGCUGUAAAACUUUUCAGGGUAGUCUUUCAGAUGCCUGGACUGCAUCUUACAUUUUUUUCCCCGAAGGGAAAGAGUAGUAGAGGCCUUAGGGUUUCUACUGCUCUCCUGGGGGAAGCUUGGUUUGGCCAAAGUGGGGUCAGCCUUCUAGCUGGGCUCCAAUUCUCAGCAUUCCCACCUACUGUCCCGUGGGAACCCUCCUCCCAACUCCCACUUGAUAUUCAUUUCUAGACCUCAUAUCCUGCAGACCACUUUCUCUUUUCUCUUUUUUCCCUUACAUACAUUGAAUACUUCCUUUGUGACCCUCUUUCUUAGUUGAUAUUUGUUUCCUUUUCCAAUGUGGACAUAGUAGCAGUGAAAAAAGAAAAAGACAAAAAAGAUACACUCAUGUUUGUAUAUAAUGUUAGUAAUAACAGUGAAACUAGGAAAAAUUGUGAUAACACAGAGGAAAUGGCUAAGACAUGAUAUUAUAGGAUGCUCACUGGUAGCAAAAUGGUUGGUUACUGCAAUAAAGUUAAUAAUCUCUCA